rnacentral:rRNA from 1 species
GACGAACGUUGGCGGCGUGCUUAAUACAUGCAAGUCAACUGAAGCAGUGGUAGCAAUAUCGCUGUGGAGGUGGCGCACGGGUGAGUAACACGUAGGUAAUCUGCCUUCAGGUCUGGCAUAACUCCGGGAAACCGGGGCUAAUAGCAGAUGAUGCAGCGGCUCGACAUCGAGACAGUUGUUAAAGCUAUGGCGCCUGAAGAUGAGCCUGCGUCUGAUUAGCUAGUUGGCGGGGUAACGGCCCACCAAGGCAACGAUCAGUAGCUGGUCUGAGAGGAUGAUCAGCCACACUGGAACUGAGACACGGUCCAGACUACUACGGGAGGCAGCAGUAAGGAAUAUUGCUCAAUGGGAGAAAUCCUGAAGCAGCAACGCCGCGUGAGGGACGAAGGGCUUUUGCUUGCAAACCUCUGUAGUGAGAGAAAAAAAUCCCAAUCUUUGGGACAUGAUGGUAUCUCAAAAGUAAGCCCCGGCUAACUACGUG